rnacentral:rRNA from 1 species
GUCCUAAGGUAGCGAAAUUCCUUGUCGGGUAAGUUCCGACCUGCACGAAUGGCGUAAUGAUGGCCAGGCUGUCUCCACCCGAGACUCAGUGAAAUUGAACUCGCUGUGAAGAUGCAGUGUACCCGCGGCAAGACGGAAAGACCCCGUGAACCUUUACUAUAGCUUGACACUGAACAUUGAGCCUUGAUGUGUAGGAUAGGUGGGAGGCUUUGAAGUGUGGACGCCAGUCUGCAUGGAGCCGGCCUUGAAAUACCACCCUUUAAUGUUUGAUGUUCUAACGUGGACCCGUGAUCCGGGUUGCGGACAGUGUCUGGUGGGUAGUUUGACUGGGGCGGUCUCCUCCUAAAGAGUAACGGAGGAGCACGAAGGUUGGCUAAUCCUGGUCGGACAUCAGGAGGUUAGUGCAAUGGCAUAAGCCAGCUUGACUGCGAGCGUGACGGCGCGAGCAGGUGCGAAAGCAGGUCAUAGUGAUCCGGUGGUUCUGAAUGGAAGGGCCAUCGCUCAACGGAUAAAAGGUACUCCGGGGAUAACAGGCUGAUACCGCCCAAGAGUUCAUAUCGACGGCGGUGUUUGGCACCUCGAUGUCGGCUCAUCACAUCCUGGGGCUGAAGUAGGUCCCAAGGGUAUGGCUGUUCGCCAUUUAAAGUGGUACGCGAGCUGGGUUUAGAACGUCGUGAGACAGUUCGGUCCCUAUCUGCCGUGGGCGCUGGAGAACUGAGGGGGGCUGCUCCUAGUACGAGAGGACCGGAGUGGACGCAUCACUGGUGUUCGGGUUGUCAUGCCAAUGGCACUGCCCGGUAGCUAAAUGCGGAAGAGAUAAGUGCUGAAAGCAUCUAAGCACGAAACUUGCCCCGAGAUGAGUUCUCCCUGACCCUUUAAGGGUCCUGAAGGAACGUUGAAGACGACGACGUUGAUAGGCCGGGUGUGUAAGCGCAGCGAUGCGUUGAGCUAACCGGUACUAAUGAACCGUGAGGCUUAACCUUA